rnacentral:lncRNA from 1 species
GGACAUUUUGUACUGGUCAAAGGAAAAAUCUACACAGAUGAAUUCUCAAUUCUGAACAUCUAUGCUCCAAAAUGCAAGGGUGCCCACAUUCAUAAAAGAAACUUUACUUCAAGGCCAGCCUGAUCUACAGAGUGAGUUCUAGGACAGCCAGUACUGCACAGAGAAAGCCUGUCUCAAAGAAGAAGAAGGAAAAAAAAAGAAACUUUACUAAAGCUCAAAGCACACGUCGCACCCACACAAUCAUAGUGGGAGACUUCAACACCCCUCUGUUAGCAAUGAACAGAUCAUGGAAACAGAGACAUAGUGAAACUAACAAGUUAUGAACCAAAUGGAUCUAACAUAUUUAUAGAACAUUUCAUCCUAAAGCAAAAGAAUAUACCUUCUCAGCACCUCAUGGUACCUUCUCCAAAACUUAACAUAUAAUUGAUCACAAAACAGGCCUCAACAUAUGCAAGAAGAUUGAAAUAAUCCCAUGUAUCCUAUCAAAUCACCACAGACUAAAUACCAACAAAAACAAUGGAAAGCACAUAUACACAUGGAAGCUGAACAACGCUCUACUCAAUGAUUACUUGGUCAAGGAAGAAAGAAAGAAAUUAAAGGCUUUUUGGAAUUUAAUGAAAAUGAAGACACAUCAUACCAAAACUUAUGGGACACAAUGAAAGCAGUGGUAAGAGGAAAGCUCAUAGCUCUAAGUGCCUCCAAACAGAAACUGGAGACAUCUUCCACUAGCAACUUAACAGCACACCUGAAAGCUCUAGAGCAAAAAGAAACAAAUAGACCCAAGAGGAGUAGAAAGCAGGAAAUAAUUAAACUCAGGGCUGAAAUCAACCAAGUAGACAAAAAGAACUAUGCAAAGAACAAAAUCAGGAGCUGGUUCUUUGAGAAAAUCAGCAAGAUAGAUAAACCCUUGGCCAGACUAAUCAGAGGGCACAGACACAGUAUCCACAUUAAUAAAAUCAGAAAUAAAAUGGGAGACAUAACUAAGAAAUAUAUUGCUCUUGCCUCUCUUUGUUUCACUUGCUUUCUCUCUAGCCCUCUUGUGCCCUCCCCCUCCGUUCUUCCCUCUCCACGUGGCCAUGGCCGCCCUUUACUUCUCUACUGUUCUCCCUCUCUGCAUUUCUACAAUAAACACCUGAAACCAUAAAAAAAAAGAAAUAUAUCUUAAAAUAAUUGUUGAAUAUUAACAGUUGAAAAUAUUAAAAUUGUGUCCUACAAACAUGGGACUAUUAUUGAUAAUUUUUUCACUGUGCUUGAAAUUAGCAUUUUCUUAAUGUUUAACUUCAAAGAGUUUUUGCUAUUUGGAAAAUUUUUAAAUAUACUUACUGAUAAAAUAAUUUCUCUCCUAGAAACACUGAUAAUCUUUUUUGAGUGAACUGAUUGUAAGGCAAUGUACACAGAUAUAGAAUAGGUUUUAAAGACCCUCUAACUUAUGUUAGGUGGUAUCAUAUAAGGGCUUUUGAAUAUAUUUCUUAAUGAUUCAUUUUUAAUAUUUUAUGUUCUUUUACUAUGCUUAAUUUCCAAAGAAUAUUUUGUAUGUUUUGAAACAAUUUAGUAUUCAACAUUAGAUGUAGGAUCCUCAGUUUUGAAUAGUAUUAAAUAUUCAUUAAUGAUAUUUUUAGGGUAUGAAAGGAUAUGAGUAUUAAAGUUGAACAAAUUUUUCUAUGUAUUUGAUUCUCAAAAUAAUAUCAUUAAUAUGUUUCAUGUAUAAAAUGCAUUUAAAUAAUAAAAUUUAAGAACAAAAAUAAUAGGUAAGGUAACUAGCUUAAUAUAUUUAUAUAUUACACCAUGCUGCAGUAGUCUGUAUAAUUAUCCGUCAAUUAGAAAUAAAUUUUUAAAUG